rnacentral:rRNA from 1 species
GCCCUUAGAGUUUGAUCAUGGCUCAGGAUGAACGCUAGCGGCAGGCUUAAUACAUGCAAGUCGAACGGUAAUCCCGCUUCUGCGGGAACGAGAGGCGCACGGGUGCGUAACACGUAUGCAAUCUACCCUUCACUGGGGAAUAACCCUGAGAAAUCGGGGCUAAUACCCCAUGGUAUUUUAGAUGGGCAUCCAUUUAAGAUUAAAGAUUUAUCGGUGAAGGAUGGGCAUGCGCCCCAUUAGUUAGUUGGUAAGGUAACGGCUUACCAAGGCUUUGAUGGGUAGGGGUUCUGAGAGGAUUAUCCCCCACACUGGUACUGAGACACGGACCAGACUCCUACGGGAGGCAGCAGUAAGGAAUAUUGGGCAAUGGGAGCGAUCCUGACCCAGCCAUGCCGCGUGCAGGAAGACGGCCCUAUGGGUUGUAAACUGCUUUUAUAUGGGACUAACCUACCCCACGCGUGGGGUACUGCAUGUACCAUAUGAAUAAGCAUCGGCUAACUCCGUGCCAGCAGCCGCGGUAAUACGGAGGAUGCGAGCGUUAUCCGGAAUUAUUGGGUUUAAAGGGUGCGUAGGCUGACAAGUAAGUCAGUGGUGAAAUACCCGGGCUUAACCCGGGGGUUGCCAUUGAUACUGUUUGUCUGGAGUGUAUUCGAAGUGGGCGGAAUGAGGAGUGUAGCGGUGAAAUGCAUAGAUAUUCCUCAGAACACCGAUAGCGAAGGCAGCUCACUAGGUUACAACUGACGCUGAGGCACGAAAGCGUGGGUAGCAAACAGGAUUAGAUACCCUGGUAGUCCACGCAGUAAACGAUGAUCACUAGCUGUUGGCGAUAUACAGUCAGUGGCUAAGCGAAAGCGAUAAGUGAUCC